ACACAUGCAGUCGAGCGGAACGAGUUAUCUGACCCUUCGGGCGACGAUAACGGCGUCGAGCGGCGGACGGGUGAGUAAUGCCUGGGAAAUUGCCCUGAUGUGGGGGAUAACCAUUGGAAACGAUGGCUAAUACCGCAUAAUAGCUUCGGCUCAAAGAGGGGGACCUUCGGGCCUCUCGCGUCAGGAUACGCCCAGGUGGGAUUAGCUAGUUGGUGAGGUAAGGGCUCACCAAGGCGACGAUCCCUAGCUGGUCUGAGAGGAUGAUCAGCCACACUGGAACUGAGACACGGUCCAGACUCCUACGGGAGGCAGCAGUGGGGAAUAUUGCACAAUGGGCGCAAGCCUGAUGCAGCCAUGCCGCGUGUAUGAAGAAGGCCUUCGGGUUGUAAAGUACUUUCAGCAGUGAGGAAGGUAGUAGUGUUAAUAGCCCUAUUAUUUGACGUUAGCUGCAGAAGAAGCACCGGCUAACUCCGUGCCAGCAGCCGCGGUAAUACGGAGGGUGCGAGCGUUAAUCGGAAUUACUGGGCGUAAAGCGCAUGCAGGUGGAUGAUUAAGUCAGAUGUGAAAGCCCGGGGCUCAACCUCGGAAUAGCAUUUGAAACUGGUUAUCUAGAGUACUGUAGAGGGGGGUAGAAUUUCAGGUGUAGCGGUGAAAUGCGUAGAGAUCUGAAGGAAUACCGGUGGCGAAGGCGGCCCCCUGGACAGAUACUGACACUCAGAUGCGAAAGCGUGG
rnacentral:rRNA from 1 species